AAAUAAGAAAGAAAGAAAGAAAGAAAGAAAGAAAGAAAGAAAGAAAGAAAAAGAAAGAAAGGAAAGAAAGGGUAAGACAGGUAGAAGCCUUCAGAAUGUGUCAGAAGCAUCUUCUAAAACCAGGUCGUAAUUUAGGGGCACCUGAGUGGCUCAGUCAGUUGAGUGUAUGCUGACGGCUUCGGUUGUGAUCCUGCAGUCCUGGGAUUGGGAUUGAGCCCUGCCUUGGGCUCCCUGCUCAGCGGGGAGCCUGGUCCUCCCUCUCCCUCUGCCCCUGCCUCAGCUUGUGUGGGCGCACACAUGCUCUCUCUCUCUCUCAAAUAAAUAAAUAAAUAAAAUAAAAAUAAAUUGUAAUUUAGUGGGUUUUUCUUAUCACAUGUUAAAGGUGGCCUGGCUGACUCCUUAUACUUUGGUUUUGACUAACUUAUGAACCAUUCCCCUGCAUGAAGGAUAUGCUAGCUCUUUGUAGCGGUCUUGCCACCAGUGGAGGAGUGGGCUUCACUCAGUUCACUUCUUUGAGCAUUGGUUGUUGAGCAUCUACUGUGUGACAGAUACAACUCCAACCCAAGCGAAAAUGAAAUAUGACACGAAACACCCUAUGAAACUUCCCUCCAGGUUCCUACACAAGGCUAGAGCAUUGUAUGGACAGGCACAAUUGUGUGGCCGCUCUGUUCCAGACAGAAAUGAAUGGCAUGCUGUUCUCUUAGGGGCCUUUUAUACCGUUCCCUUGGAGGCCAGCCUUCCGUUUGGGGGCAUUUCAGCUGAUGGCAAGGGUGGUUCUUCCUGGGACUCUGUGUCUCAUCCUCAUCACCUUCCCAAGAUGUCUUGGCUCCUAAUAAGCUGCCGUAUGUCUGGCUGUCCUCUUCCAAGCUGGUCUGCCUGCAUUUGCCAGGUGACUUCAAUAACGGCUGCCACCCUUUCGCAUUCAUGAGCAGAUGUUAAGUUGAGAAGCCCUUGAAUAUAAAAAUUUGAAUUUGUGAUGCAGGCAAGAUGCUUCUGCCUUUUUACCUUCCCUGGCUGACAGUCGGGGCCUCCCUGCUGGCUGUCCUGCAGAAGGCUUGGUGGGUAGCAGGUAUAUCAAAGACCAGUUGCCAAAAGCUCAUGUCUCUGUUAGGUGAUCCCAGUGUGGCUCUGCUGUGGCCUCAAAGUCUCAUUGACCAGAAUAUUGUUCUUUUGAUCUGGUAACUCAUUUUGCAUCUUUUGCCUUUAUUCUUUCCUUGCUUCUGCAGCUAUUCCUGCUCAGGGUUCAAGACAAGCACUUGGGCCUACACUCACUACAUUUGGUCUGCAGAGGGAGUUUGUUUUCCGGUUCCGUUUUGUUUUUAAAAAGCCAGUGUAAAUAUUAGUUCUGUGUUCACGAAAAGCUGUGAGAGCUUUCAUGAUUUUCUUUAUAUAAUACAAUAAACCUCUUCCUUCCCCUGUGGUCAUUGCUGCCAAACGGACAUUUUGAAAUUCCUUUUUCAUUUUGCCUGCUAAAAAUCUUCUACCCUAUCUGAGGCCUUGCUCUAAUUAAGGCCUAACAGUCCUGCCCAUCUUCCCCAGCGCUGAGCCUGAGCGGAGUGCCUGCCCCGAGGGCCUUACAAGCCAGUGAGACGAGAAAACAAAAGCCACCAGCUGAGAAUGUGGUUAAAUCCCAGAAGGGCAGUGCCCUUGUAAUUCCCCCCCCCCUUCUCUUGUUUCUUGAGCUGUGGAAGGGAAGAGGGGAAACUUUAGUAGGGAAAGAGAGGGGCUACAUCACUGAAGGAUUCUCUAGAAACUGCAGGCUAUUGAGGAAACGAUGUGGAAGAGAAGGGGGUGGUCAUCUAGGAGGCGAAAUGGGGAGAUGGAGGUGACCACAGACUGAGAGGCUGGGGGCGGGGGCCCGCACAGAAAAUAAGAGGAAACAAAGGGAGCAGUCAGGAGGCCACGGGUGAACAAAAGGAGAUGCUGCUGUGCAUACCCUGAAGGGAGGGGUUGCAGGGUACAAGGGAGAAAGGGUGGAGAGGGGGUGCAACUGAGCAAAGGAGUCUUGGGAAAGCCCCUAAAAUGCAGGCUGCAGGCCUGCUACAUAGGAACUGGUGCCAUGUUGUUCUGUCUGGCUUUGGUGGUGAUGUUGGUCUUGCUGCUUAAUUGUUCCAUGUUGGCUGUUACAAAGAGCCUAGAGAUUGACAUCCUUGAGGGUAAUUUAUCCCAGAAUCUUAUGAAGUCCCCAUUGUAAGGUUCCUAUUCUCUGAGGAUGCCAGAGAGCCCCUCAUCACCAACCCCCCCAUCACUCUACUAGAUCUAGAUUAAACUUGAAAUUAAAUGAGCAGACUUUUUACGUGUGCUGUGUGGUAUUAUACAAAGCAAAGACUAGAAAUAGACCCAAAAUACCUGAUUUUAGCUGCAGAUUUUAGGAACUCUCUCCCCAAGUUAUGUUGCCCAAGGCAGCUAUGCUGCUGUGCUUUUGGAGGCCCUGAGGCCUGCUGCUUGCUCUUCCUCAGCCUAUGCAGACCUGCUCCGAGUGCCAAAUGUUAUUCUCACUGAGUUCCUUGAUUGGGUGCCUGUGGGGCUCAGUCCAUUAAGGGUUUGCCUUCAGCUCAGCUCAUGACCCAAGGGUCCUGGGAUAGAGCCCCGUUUCGCAUAGGGCUCCCUGCUGAGUGGGGAGUCUGCUUCUCCCUCUGCCUCUACACCUCCCCCCGCUUGUGUUCUCUCUCUCUCUCAAAUAAAUAAAUAAAAUCUUAAAAAAAAAAAAAAAGGAAUUUGUUGAUCUUCAAGAGGACCACGCCAGCCCUUAGUGUUGUCAACAUCCCUGUACUGCCUUUUGAGCUCUCACCAAAAUGUCAGUCACAGACUUCAGUUGCUGUCUCGACCUUAGACACACUUUAUUUUGACAUUGAGGGAACUGUGGCCCAAAGAAGUUUUGUCUUCUCCAGGUCACUUGGAGUGUUAAGAGGCCAUCCUUGACUCCUAGUCCAGUGCAGUUUCUACAAUAAGCUGCUUUUAGGUCACAGGGGACGCCCAGGAGUUUGCACACUUUUUCUGUGAAGAGUCAGAUAGUAAAUAUUUUAGGUUUUGUGGAUUCAGGCACAACUGAGGAUACUAUAUAGAUAUUUAUGUAACAACUGAGAAAACAAAUUUCCAUAAGCCUUUUAUUGACAAAAUUUAAAAUUUAAUAAUAUGUACUAUUCAGUAUAACAAUAAUAAUAUAUGCACUGCACUGUCAUAGAUACAGAAAUGAAUGAUGGUGGCUGUGUCCUAAUACAACCUUACUUGUGGACACUGAAAGUUGAGUUUCAUUCAAUUUUCACAUCAUGAAAUACUACUCCCCUUUCCCUUUUUUUUCUGAUCAUUUAAAAUUGUAAGAACCAUUCUCAGCUUGCAGGCUACACAAAAACAGGUAGUGGGCCAAAUUUGAUUUAUAGACCAUAGUCUAUGGACCCAUUUUCUAAGCCAAAAUCAGCAAACCAGGGCCCAUUGGUCAGUCCAACCCACAUAUGUGUUUUAUUUGUUAACGAUAAUUUUAAUUGAAUACGUUGCAAUGUUUUUUUUCUAAUUUUCUAAGUGCUUCUAAUUAUAAAUUCUUCUCAUUAUACUUAUAACUCUAAUUAUAAAAGUAAUAUAUAGCUAUUGUGAAAUAAUUUGGAAUGUUACUAUUUAGGCAUGUAUUCUUUCAAUCUUUUAUCUAUGCACAGUGAUUUUUUUAAAUACUUGAUAUAAUAUAUAUUUUUUAAAGAUUUUAUUUAUUUACUUGACAGAGAGAGAGAGCACAAGCAGGGAGAGUGGCAGGCAGAGAGAGAAGGAGAAGCAGGUUCCCCACUGAGCAGGGAGCCAAUGCAGGGCUGGAUCCCAUCCAGGACCCUGGGAUCAGGAGCUGAGCUGAAGGCAGAUGCUUAACUGACUGGGCACCCCUUGAGAUAAUAUUUUGUAGACAAUUUUGUAUCUUCCUCUUAUUCAUUUAAUAGCAUAUCAUUUUAAAGCCUUCCAUUACAUAAUCUUUUAAAACUUUAUUAUGAAAAUCUUGAACCUGUACAAAAUAUGGAAAGGCUAGUUUAAUGAACCCCCAUAUAGCCAUCACCCAACUUCUCUAAUUCUCAGUGGCCGGCCAACCUUGUUUUAUGUAAAUCCUCUCCUGUAUUAUUUUGAAGUAAAUCCCAGAUAUCAUAUCAUUUUAUCUCUAAGUAUUUUAGUGUCAUUCUCUAAAAGAGAAGGAUACGAAGAGGAAGCCCUUAUGCUCAGCAAAUAAAUGCCGAAGUAUUUAAGGGUAAAAGAGAAUGAUGUCUGCAACUUGUAAAUAGUUCAGGAAAAAAUAGGUAGGUAGGUAGAUAUGAGUAGAAUGUAUGUAGGCGUUUUUUGGUACUAUUCUUGAAAUUCUGUAAGUUUGAAAUACUUCUAAGUGAAACAUUUUUAAAAUGUGAGUUACUAAAAAAAUAAUUUUAAAAAAUGUUAUUUUCCUAAGAAAAAUAACCACAGUAUCAUUAUCAUUGCCAACAAAUACUAAUUCUUUAAUAACAUCAAAUAUCAUCGUCAACAUUUCUCCUAAUUUGGCCUAAUUUUUCUAAUUAUGUCAUUUAAAUAAAAACCAAUUUACUUAUUCAAAGCACAAUUCCAAAUAAGGUCGUUACAGUACAAUUGAUAUUCCCUUAAAUGUCAUUUAAUUUAUUGGUUUCCUUCCCUCUUCCUUUCAUCCUUAGUAUGGCUAUAAAAAUUUUGUUGAAGAAACUGACCUGUAGAGUUUCCUACAAUCUGAAAUCUGAUUGAUUACACUCAGUGCUAUUUUACUUGUUCUUCUGUCACAGAGAUUUCCUGUAAAUCGGUAGUUAUAGCUAGAGACUUGAUCAGAUUCAGAUGCCUUUGUUAAGUCAACAUGUCAUAGAAUUUAUAUAAAAAUCCUGAUUUUGGCUUUUUGGGAAAAUUCUGCAGAUCUGCCCCCCCACCCCCGCAAGAGUUGAUCUGGGGUUGGGUAGUGACCACGCCUGUUCCCCCCACUUUGGUAGGACAUGAAUUAUCCUGCAGGCCCCAGUUCACACUACUUCCUGCCUGGCUCCCAGGAGCCUUAGAGCCCCUGUUCUAAACACUGCCUCUUUGGGGGCUUUGGUAGACUUCUCAAUGCACCAUCACAGUAGGCCUUUCAGGAAUGUGGUGGAGAGCAGAGAUGAGGAUUCAGACACAGAUUUUCUUAAAAUGCUUGAAGGGAAAGAGAUAAGCAGCAACAUAAAGGGAGGCCAAGGGAUAGAAAUUUGGUUGAUGCCCAGGACAAGGGAAAGAGAGAAGAGAGGUAAAACAACAAAUUAACAGAGUGCUACAAACAUGGGAGACAGAAUGAGUUAUAGAUUCCCAACCCAUGGUGGGAAACUAAGGAAGGAAGUGGGUUUUUAAAAAGAGACAGACUUUAGUCUUUUUAUACAUUAUGAUAAUAUUGAAACCUUAAGAAGAGGCCGGGGGAAGUAAAUGUUACAAUGACCAACAGUCCUAAAUCAGAAAGUGCAAGCAUGUAGUUGUGGCCUAGCAGCAAUCAAGUGGGGAUUAAAGGAAAUGAGAUAGAAAAGGAGGAAAACCUCCUGGGAAAGGCCACUGGGAAAGGACCAGGAGCCAUGCUGUGGAGAAGUGGAAGAACUGGUGGAUAUAUCAGAGGAGAGGAUCUCAAAAGUCAUAGGAUUUUUUUUUUUUCUGAUUUGCAAAUGUAUUGAACUGAAAAGUAUAAAAAUUUAGAAAAAUAAAUCCCAUUUAGUUGUUUUGGAAAGAAUAAACCUUUACAGAAAAGCAUAAAAUUAUGAUAAGUUUGGAUGUUCCUGGAAAUUUCCAGAUAGUUCCCCAUACUCAGAAGAAUGAUUAAGAGAGAGACUCUGAGACUGGUUAUGAGGAAGGGUGGAAAAUUUUGAAGGACAGGCUGAUUAUGUAAGUUUUCGGCUGUGGUGUUUAAAGCUGUUGCCAUGAUAUUUUAGUUAUUAAUAACAAUUUGGGGAAAUCUGCUCGCUUCUGGAGAAGCAUUUGGCUCUAAUGAGAAAGAAAUGCCACUGUUUGUGAAUUCCCAAGUGGAUGUAAGGAGCCAUUCACUUGCUAAGCCUCUUAGGAAAGCCAGAGCCGAUUUCACCCUUAACAAGCUGUUGACAGCGUCUAAUCAAGGUACCACCUGGAACAUGUGAGCAGCAUAGAAAGUGGACUAUGGACACAGACCUGUGUUUAAAUCCCUUUAUGUCACUCACCAUGUGACCCUGGCAGCUUACCCAUGGAAAAUGUCUAGGGUAUAAAUGUUUUACGUUCGUAGCUAUGAUUCUUACUGCGUGGAUGGUAGGAACUUAGAGCUCUGAAUAAUUGCCUUCCACCAGCAGCCACAACAGUUUACACUUAUAGGGCACUUACUAUGCGCCAGGCACUUUUGUAGAUACUUCGCAUGUGUGAUCCCAUUUAAUUAUUAAAAAGCCCUACAAGGUAAGUGUAAUAUGAAAAUAAGCCUCAUUUUAUGGGUGAGGAAGCUGAGGCUCAGGGAGGUUAAGUAACUUGCCUAAAAUUACAUAGCGAGUGUCUCUGUGACAGAGCUGGGCUUUAAACCCAACGGGACAGAAUACAAACGCCAAACUCCCUUGCUUACCACCACUUCCUGCCUUCUAACCUUAGGGAAGCACAGAGUGUCAUGCCUCAUACUGGCCCUGUCCAACCUCUGGUUCCUAAUUUGUGUGCCUCAAUUUUCUUGGAGGUCUCCAAAUGGUUUUUACAGUUUCCAAAAGCCUCAGCGGAAACACAUAAACUUGCAAUCAGACCACAGGUUUCUUUAGGUUGGAAUCUACUUAUUGACUGUGGAUUGGCUCAAGUUUUGUAGGAGCUCUGAUUGGCGGUUACUUACACAAAAACAUUGUAGGGUUGUUUUUGAAGUGGGAAGAUGAAUCAUUAGUUAAUAAACACCAUUUAGUGGAAUAGAUCUUUCUAAACAUGUGGUCUACUGAGAAAGACUAGAGGGUGCUUGGCUUUGAGAAGUUUGGGAACUGCUAGUGUACAUGUGUGUGCAUGUUGCUCAAACUGCCAGCCUUUAAAAACCCUGCCUAUAUUUUUAAAUUACAUAAUUCUUUAAUUUGACUUUAAGUCAGUAUAUUUUUCCUUAUUUAAAAUGUUUCACUAGCUGUGUAUGUAAUAUUGUAAUCUACUUUAGUCUUCAAGAUGAUGGGGUUCUUAAAAUAUGUUUGGGAACCGAGAUGCAGAAUGGCAAACAUUGUAUUCCAAACUAAAAACAGGGUGACAGGCUUAUUAUCCUUUUAAGUUGUAACCUAGGAGUAAAUCUUUGCUCAAGAAAAUUUUGCAAUCAGACUCAUACUACCAAAAUGCGGGGAACACGGAUGGUUUUGUAAAAAAAAAAAAAAAAAACAAGCAAAGAAAACCUGCACGUUAGUGCAUGAGACCAAUAGCUCCACAAGGCGAGCUUGUGUCAGGCCUCAGUAAAUACUUUUUCAAUGAGCAGUCCCUGAAUCUUGGAAGAAAGAUCCUAGCAGGCAGUCAGCACCCUUUAUUUGAGGAAGAGGACUGGGUCUUUUGCGUGAAAUGCUUUUUUAUACCAUGUUGGGAAAAUCGAUCUAGGCCUCCCCUGACAGCCAUGGGAAAGCACAGGUGACACACGAUUCCUGAGAAUUGAUUACAUUAAAACUGCACUUGACUUUCUCCGAAUCCUGCCUCUCUGAAAUGUGCAGGGUUUGGAUGCCCUCCGAGAUCUGGAUCUGGAACCCAGGGGCCCUUCUGCAGCCCCAGGCCUUGUUCUGAUAGUUACAAUGGCCGCUAGCCCCCCAAACUAGGUUGUCCUUAAGGCAGGUUCUUCCUGCGUCCUCCCUCGGGAAGGGGGCGGAGGCCACUGCCCCUCUGGUGGAGUCCGGAGCCCCCGCGGGGCCGUCGUAGGUUCCUACCCCCCAGCCCCCACCCCGCCGUCGCACCAGGUACGGUCUGGGUCUUGCUGGGCCGUCGUACUUCCCCCGCUCCCGGUCCCGCCGCCGCCCUCCCGAGGCCUCGUCCUCCGCGCGGCGGUUUCCCCCGGACGCCCCGGCCAGCAGGCUGAGGGUCGGGCCGACCUCUUCCCAGACCGGCCGCGUCCGCUACCCCGCGCCGGGGGCGGGCCGGGCCGGCGGAGCCGAGCCGCCGGCGUCCAUUUUCUGGGCGGUGCUGUGUGGCGCAGCGGCCGGACUCGCGGGUCCGGAAGAGCCAUGGACCCCCGGGGGGACGCGCUCUCGCUGGAGCAGUCGAGCCCUGUCUUGAUGUGGAGGAGAUGGAGGACUCAGAACCAAGAAUUUCCAAGUGAUUUCUUCCAAAGCACAAGAAACUAACUGUUAGUGCUGGUGUGUUCUGACUGAGGACCAGAUGAAACAUCUCUGCAGGCUGACUCCAGCCUCUGGGCUGCCCACAUGCCAGUCAGAGAGCCACACCGUCUGACUCAGCCCACCAGUCUGCAUUUCCUCAGCGGCAGCUUGCCCAGUCUUUUCCUGCAGAGCAUUGGGCUUGAAGUUCUCCAAGACCCAUCCCAGGGAAAAGUAAUGGUCAUUGAACCUUCUCCAUGUCACAGCAAAUAUGGGAGCCACUUGGAAGAUAAACUGUGUCCGUGUCAUACAGACAAAGCAAUUUGUCAGUAGAAUCAGCAGUAAAAUGCAGCAUGUAUGGCCAAGGACAUCUGGAGGACAUCUGAAGAGGCAUCAGACACAGCAGCCUUGAUUAAGCUGCUCGGUGCUCAGUGUGUCCAUUUCAGGAUAGAACAGCAAGAACCCACCAAAGGAAGCCACUCCCUGUUCAGGCAUGUUACUCCCAAGGCAGCGGAACGGAGCCAAGACUGCAGAGGCUAACCUGGCUGGCACCAGGCCAUGGGGUGACAGUGAAGGACAGCAGGCAUUUUGCCAUAUAGCUAGUCUCUGGUGUUGACUGGCUCAGCCCAAAGAUGCUUUCUGAAAUAUCAAGCAGUUAGCCACUUCCUAACUAGUCCCAGACGGGGACAGUGUGAGAAUUGGCCUCUGUCUCUGUUGACAUUUGAUUGACCUUCUGCACAUCCUGGAAUUUAUAAUGCCUUGCCUUUUUUCUCAGUCUCUUUCACCCGCUCCUGUUUUCCUUAGCUCUCUCGGAGCUGAGUCAUAAUGUCUAUAAAGAGCUUCAGCACAGGGCCCCGCAUGUAUAAAGUGCACAGUAAAUAUUAGCUCUUAUUGUCAUUGGCAUCCUCCUCCUCACCAUCAUAACGAGUAUCACUUCACCAGCAGGUAAGGGGACUUGGUUUUCUUAAACCUUCAACUCAGCUGUGUACCUCAGCUGUCUUCAGCUGUCUCCACCCUGGCAUAAAUGAAGACGGGCCACGUGUACGAGGCCCACUGCAUCAGAAAGUGCACUUCACAAGAUGCCCAGCUGACUCUGCACAUGAAUGCAUGGAGAACACUGCUCUAGAUGGCGUGGUGAAGCACAGGGACAGGCUUGCAGAGAGACCAGUCCUUACGGGUUUGCUAUCUAGGAGAUACUUUGGGACAGUCUUAGGGCGUAGGGGCUGGGAGGAUGUGCCUUUUACAUUAUACCAUCGGAUGUGUGAUGGGGUGGUUUUGACCGCACUAGGAAUCUGAUUCUGAAGGCUAGUGUCCCCUGGCUGUGACUUUAACCUGAACGUAGCACCUGGUUCCUUUCCACGGCUCUAUGGCCAUGCCAACCAUGUUGCCAAGAAGGGAAAUUCCUGUGGUAAGAGGCCAGAAAACAUUCAUGUGUCAGGGAAGCGACGCACAUUAUAAGACUGCAGAGCUGGAACGUGUAGCAGUGUGACAAUGAGGAGAUGGGCUCUCAGUAAGGACUGGGGGACCCUGCUAGAUGUGAGAAGGGUGGUAUACCUGAACCUUCUUUCAUGUUGGUGACUGAGAGCUUUGCCUGCUUCUAAGGAACCAUUCUGAAAGAUAGAAAUAACCAAUCCCAAUAACCAGUGCCGCCUCGGUGGCUCGUCUGGACUGGAAGCUACUAGGGCAGUGAGGACAAAGUGGCCACAAUGUCUUAGAGACGAAAUCCUAACUUCCUAUCAACUUAAUUUAGAAAGUGAAUUAAUGAAAAGCCUUUUUAGACUUUCAAAGCUUUCACGUGUGUUUUGAGGGUAACGUGGUCUAGCAUUUUGUUUAUUUAUGAUUAGGGUGAUUUUUUCCAGUCUGCGUGGUGCUUUCAGAGGGCCUCGUGCCCUGCACACCGAGCGGCCUGUCCCUUGAGCAGUGUAAGGCUUGGGGGUGCAGCUGUAGAUCUUAGUCCCCACAACAGCUCUCUCUCUUCCUCUUUUCUUCCUUCUCUUCCUGCCACUGUCAGGGAACGUAGCUUGGAGCUCUGGAUCUCAGUUCCCUCUCCUAUUUAUUCAGAGGAGUUGCGUCUGUAGUAGGUUGAAUGGUGGCUCCCGAAAGAUAAAUUCAUAUCCCGCUGCUGUGAAUAUGGCCUUAUUUGGAAAAAGGGUCUUUGCAAGUGUAAGGUAGUUAAGGAUCUUGAGGUAAGUUCGUCCUGGAUUGUGGGGUGGGCCCUAAAUCCAAAGACAAGCAGCCUUAUAAGAAACACAUGGAGAGGCAACACAGAAGGAAAAGGCCAUGUGAAGACGUAGGCAGAGAUUAGGGUGACAACCACAAACCAAAGACUGCCUAGAACUACCAGAAGCUGGAAAAGGCAAGGAAGGAUUGCCCUCCAGAGUCUUCAGUGAGAGCAAAGCCCUGCUGACACCUUGAUUGCAAACUUCCAGCCUCUAGAAAUGUGAGAAAACAAAUUUCUGUUGUUGUUAAGUAACCACGUUUGUGGUAACUUGUUACAGCGUUAUUAGGAAGCCAAUAACAGUGUCCAGUCCUAGUCUUGAUUCAGAAAUGCCUAAGAACUUGUUAAAAGUCAAGUUCUGGGGCUUGACCCCUGACUGUUCUGAUUCUUUUGGUGUGGGGUGGCAUCCAGAAACUGAAGUUUUAAUCAGGGCUUCCAGGUGAUUCUGAUACAUGUUACCCCCCAGUAGUGGUAUUCCUCCAGCUCCUUCUCUUCGUCCACUCUGCCUUCCUUGGACCAUUUCCCUGCUUGUGUUCUCAACCACCUCUUGUGUGUCAGUGCAGUACACAUCUGAAUCUUCAGCCCAGCUGUCUUUCAGCAGCAAGGUCUGUUUUGGAUGCCUGUUGAUUGAGGGCACCACCUGCAUUUCCCACAGGCUCCUCAGGGAGCACACACUUCAUUAUCAUCCUCCCCAACCAGCUCUCUGAUCCAGUUCCCUACCUGCCAGUGACACACCGAGGUAAUGGAGCUGGGGUGUCAACCUUCAUUCUUCCCUCUCUCUCUCUCCUCUGACUUCCAGUGAGUUGAUUCUUCUAUCCAAAUAGCUUUCAAAUCUUUCUCCCGUGUUCAUUCCCCACUUUCUCCUUGCCUUCUUUCUAGACUCCCUGCACAUAUCCUUCUUACCAAAUGGUUCCCAGAAUGAUCUGUCUGCAAAUUUGCCAAAUGAGUCCCACUUAAAAUCCUUUAAAUGACUCACCAGUGUCCAGGCUGUUCAUUAAAAUCAUGCAGAGGUGUUUUUUGUUUUUGUUUUUUAAUCGCCAUACCCGAUAUUCACCCAAGACCAAACAAAUCAGAAUCUCUGGUUGACGCCUAAUUUUGGUUCUUUAUCCAAUCCCCAUAGGUGAUUCCAUUAUGCAGUUUAGGGUUGAGAACUUCUGGACUAGAGGAUAAAAUCCAAAGUCUUGGUAACAUUCAGAACUCUUGACAACUAGGUCCCUGCCAAUCUCUCCCUCUCCAUCUCCAUCAGGCCCUCCCAGCAGCCUGUGCAGCAGCCAUCCCCACCUUUCUGCCAUUCCCUCAGUGUGUCAUUCGCUCUCACACCUCCGUACCUUUGCUUAGACCUCUGCCUGGAAUAGAGGUUUUUCCUCCCUUGGAAUCCAAAGAAAUGCUCCCUGUCUUUCAAGACUUGGUUCCACCUCUCUCCCUGACUCUCCUUCCCCAAACUCAGUUUAAGGCUGCGUCCUCCAGAGUCCUGGGCACACUUGGUAGAGCACUUUAAUCACCACAGAGGAGCUGUUUGUCUGCAUGUCUGUCUCUUCCAUUAGACUGUGGGCUCCAGGAGGUUGCUGAAUGAGGAUAGAAAUAAAGGAUUAAACAAGAUGAUGAAAUAGUGUUUCUGCUUCUCUGAAUUAUUGAGCCCAUGCUGCCUUAUACCUCAUCAGACACUUGUUAAGAAAACAAAACUUUACUUAGUUGUAAUGAGCAUAAUGAAAUUGUAGUAGUUGUAGUUGUGUGUAGGGCCGUUAAUUGAAUACUUGCUAGUCACAGUCUCCAUAGUCAUUGCUUCAUUUAACUAACCCAAUAAUCAUCUCAAACAUCGUUCCCAUUUUACAGAAUGAAUUAAACAAAAUGCUGUGCUAUCAGGUAAUGCAGGAUGGCAGAGAACACAUUGUGGAAUGCAUGGAUGAUCACCUGGCCAGCAGUGUUAAUGGGGUAUUAGCUGUUCAGGAAAAACUGGUUCUGUGGGUCAAAGUGGCUCCUGAUAAGUAGUCUUUUGAGUGGCAUAUUCACAUUUGGCACUGGAUUUGGCAUAAACAAAGCCACUAAACAUACCACUCAAAAGAUGAGAUGGUGAUUUAUAUAUACUAACAUUUAGAAUCGCAUAAAUACAGUCUUCCUUUUAAUUAUGCUAGAAGGAGUUUGUGACCCAGAGUCACAAGAUCAGGGUUGAAAACCGAGCCUUUUCAAUUACGUGAUAUGUGGUGUUAGGAUUUUGGCGUCGUUUUUCUGAGCCUCAGCGUCUUCAUCUUUGAAAUGGUGAUAGUAUCUCACAGCCAGUAGGGGUGCUGUGAGAAAGAAAAUGAAAUGGUAUGUAUGAAAGUGGUUUGUAAAUGGUCAGGGGCUAAACAGGAGUAAGCCUGAGUGUCCUUGUCCUUGUUCUCUGUUUGGGUCCAGAAGGUUGGCCUUUGGGAAGUGUCAGGUUGGGGAAGGGUGGUGUUCUGCUGGGUCAGUGAAUAUGGGCCCUGAAACACUUGUAGGUUGUCUGAUUUCCCAGUGGGGCAGAGUACGAGGAUGCUGUAUGGUAAGCCCCAGAAAAACAAAUGGCAUGAGCUAGUUAGGGAGGAUGUGGGAAUGAAGAUAGUGGUUAGAAAAUUAGAGUCUUGUUGUGCUUAUUGAAACAACAGAGCUGAGAGAAUGUAAUUGGUCCGGGUUUUGCAUUGGUUCACCUGUAACCAAGGGCCAGCCCAGGGACCACAGUUCAACUCCAUGGAGCUUGACAUCUUGUUCUCCCAAGUAAAAGUUUUCUUUUCUGCAGCUCAGAAGCUUUCUGGAUCUCAGCGCAAGAGCUCAUGUACCCUGAGGUCUCAGUGUCUUGAUUCUGAAUAUAUUAAUGCAUUAACACAGCCAGAGCUGUUCUUUACAGGGUCCUUCCUCAUUGUGUAGGUUCAACCUCCUUCCUCCUCAAAAAUGAAACCAAGGCUUUAUCUUUUUUAUUCUGAUAGAUUGAAAAAUAUUUUCCAAGUCCUGAUCUUGAAAAAUGAUCUGUGCGGGGGGGUGUGUGUGUGUGUAUGUGUGUGUGUAUAGAAUGACCACUUCCUGCCACUCUCUAGAGGUGGGCACAGAAAACAGUCCUGCCUUUUUGUCACAGACGUCGCCAUCUUGAACUUAACCUGUAAGUUUCUGGAGCGUGAAUCUGUGUGACAUGUGAAGGAAAUAGGUCUAUUAUAAGACAGAAUUGACAUUCUAAAAAUAUCCCAACACACUGGAGAUGAUGAACAAAAUGAACGUGAUUAAAUCCAAUCAGAAUAAAUGAGUGAAUUUUUGAACUUCAGUUAAAAAAUUCAGGCUUGGAAGUUUGGAAGCCAAGGAGGAGGAAGAAAACAGGGAAGAAGGAGAACUC